rnacentral:rRNA from 1 species
UACAGAGGUCCCGAGCGUUGUUCGGAUUCAUUGGGCGUAAAGGGUGCGUAGGCGGCGGGGAAAGUCUGAUGUGAAAUCCUGGGGCUCAACCCUGGAACUGCAUUGGAUACUUCCUUGCUAGAGUACUGGAGAGGAAACUGGAAUUUACGGUGUAGCAGUGAAAUGCGUAGAGAUCGUAAGGAAGACCAGUGGCGAAGGCGAGUUUCUGGACAGUUCCUGACACUGAGACACGAAGGCCAGGGGGAGCAAAACGGG